CCUACGGGAGGCAGCAGUGGGGGAUAUUGCACAAUGGGGGAAACCCUGAUGCAGCGACGCCGCGUGUGGGAAGACGGUCCUCUGGAUUGUAAACCACUUUUCCAGGGACGAAGAUGACGAUACCUGUGGAGGAAGCUCCGGUAAACCACUUGCCAGCGGCCGGGGUAAUACGUAGGGAGCGAGCGUUGUCCGGAAUUACUGGGUGUAAGGGGAGCGUAGUCGGGUAUGCAAGUUGGGGGUCAAAAGUACCGGAUCAACCGGUAGUCGCAUCCAAAACUGCAGAUCUUGAGUGGAGUAGCGGUAGGCGGAAUGCCUGGUGUAGCGGUGAAAUGCGUAGAUAUUAGGAGGAACACCAGUGGCGAAGGCGGCCUGCUGGGCUUUAACUGACGCUGAGGCUCGAAAGUGUGGGGAGCAAACAGGAUUAGAUACCCGAGUAGUC
rnacentral:rRNA from 1 species